UUGAUUUUCAUUCGAUUACAGAAUGUUUUCUUCAGACAGGUUUGUAAACUGAAAGUUUGUAAAUGGGGGGGCGCCGGCAGGCUGAUAGACCCGGAAGGUGCCAGGGUCCUGCUGCCGAAGCAGAUGUUUUUUGAGCUCACAAAGGGUUUGGACUCUGUGGCCAGGCUUUCGCCCGGCACAAAGCUUGUCAAGGGACAUUUGGUAAUGAUCCUUCCGCAGGUUCACCUACGGAAA
rnacentral:misc_RNA from 1 species